rnacentral:rRNA from 1 species
UACGUAGGUGGCAAGCGUUGUCCGGAAUCACUGGGCGUAAAGCGCGCGCAGGCGGCGAUCUACGUCUGGGGUGAAAGCCCGGAGCUCAACUCCGGGACUGCCUUGGAUACGGGAUCGCUUGAGGAUUGGAGAGGCAAGGGGAAUUCCACGUGUAGCGGUGAAAUGCGUAGAGAUCUGGAGGAAUACCGGUGGCGAAGGCGGCCCCCUGGACAAAGACUGACGCUCAGGUGCGAAAGCGUGGGGAGCAAACAGG